rnacentral:miRNA from 1 species
GAGGAUGAAGGUGAUGAAUUU